AGAUGUGAUCAUACCAGCACUAAAGCACCGGAUCCCAUCAGAACUUUGAAGUUAAGCGUGCUUGGGCGUGAGUAGUACUAGGAUGGGUGACCUCCUGGGAAGUCCUCGUGUUGCAUUCC
rnacentral:rRNA from 1 species